rnacentral:rRNA from 2 species
GAACCUGCGGAAGGAUCAUUACCGAGUGCGGGCCCUCUGGGUCCAACCUCCCAUCCGUGUCUAUCUGUACCCUGUUGCUUCGGCGUGGCCACGGCCCGCCGGAGACUAACAUUUGAACGCUGUCUGAAGUUUGCAGUCUGAGUUUUUAGUUAAACAAUCGUUAAAACUUUCAACAACGGAUCUCUUGGUUCCGGCAUCGAUGAAGAACGCAGCGAAAUGCGAUAAUUAAUGUGAAUUGCAGAAUUCAGUGAAUCAUCGAGUCUUUGAACGCACAUUGCGCCCCCUGGUAUUCCGGGGGGCAUGCCUGUCCGAGCGUCAUUGCUGCCCUCAAGCACGGCUUGUGUGUUGGGCUUCCGUCCCUGGCAACGGGGACGGGCCCAAAAGGCAGUGGCGGCACCAUGUCUGGUCCUCGAGCGUAUGGGGCUUUGUCACCCGCUCCCGUAGGUCCAGCUGGCAGCUAGCCUCGCAACCAAUCUUUUUAACCAGGUUGACCUCGGAUCAGGUAGGGAUACCCGCUGAACUUAAGCAUAUCAAU